GUUGAGUGAUGACUAACUUUAUGUGCCAACUUGACUGGGCCAUGGAGUGCCCAUAUAUUUGGUCAAA